GAUGAACGCUGGCGGCGUGCCUAAUACAUGCAAGUCGAGCGAACAGACGAGGAGCUUGCUCCUCUGACGUUAGCGGCGGACGGGUGAGUAACACGUGGAUAACCUACCUAUAAGACUGGGAUAACUUCGGGAAACCGGAGCUAAUACCGGAUAAUAUAUUGAACCGCAUGGUUCAAUAGUGAAAGACGGUUUUGCUGUCACUUAUAGAUGGAUCCGCGCCGCAUUAGCUAGUUGGUAAGGUAACGGCUUACCAAGGCGACGAUGCGUAGCCGACCUGAGAGGGUGAUCGGCCACACUGGACCUGAGACACGUUCAGACUCCUACGGGAGGCAGCAGUAGGGAAUCUUCCGCAAUGGGCGAAAGCCUGACGGAGCAACGCCGCGUGAGUGAUGAAGGUCUUCGGAUCGUAAAACUCUGUUAUUAGGGAAGAACAAAUGUGUAAGUAACUAUGCACGUCUUGACGGUACCUAAUCAGAAAGCCACGGCUAACUACGUG
rnacentral:rRNA from 1 species